rnacentral:rRNA from 1 species
AUUGAACGCUGGCGGCAGGCUUAACACAUGCAAGUCGAGCGGGGUGAUGGUGCUUGCACUAUCACUUAGCGGCGGACGGGUGAGUAAUGCUUAGGAAUCUGCCUAUUAGUGGGGGACAACAUCUCGAAAGGGAUGCUAAUACCGCAUACGUCCUACGGGAGAAAGCAGGGGAUCACUUGUGACCUUGCGCUAAUAGAUGAGCCGAAGUCGGAUUAGCUAGUUGGUGGGGUAAAGGCCUACCAAGGCGACGAUCUGUAGCGGGUCUGAGAGGAUGAUCCGCCACACUGAGACUGAGACACGGCCCAGACUCCUACGGGAGGCAGCAGUGGGGAAUAUUGGACAAUGGGGGGAACCCUGAUCCAGCCAUGCCGCGUGUGUGAAGAAGGCCUUAUGGUUGUAAAGCACUUUAAGCGAGGAGGAGGCUCUUUUGGUUAAUACCCAAGAUGAGUGGACGUUACUCGCAGAAUAAGCACCGGCUAACUCUGUGCCAGCCGCCGCGGUAAGAC